AUGCUUCUGUAUUAACAUCACACUUAAAUACUACAGUCUACUUUUCUUCUGAAUUACAAUCAACUCUGGAGGCCAUUACCCAGGAAAGCAAUUAGUUUAUAAGAUAAUGUGUGACAAUGAACCAUGGUAACGCAAGCUAACUUUGGCCAAAGAAGACCAGAAAAAGAGUUUUAUUUUUGUUUAGGGGAAAAAAAAGAGAGGAGAAAUAGCAGUUUAGUCAUCAAAAUAUGUCAUUGCUUUGUACUGAAUAUCUAGGACUUUUAUUGAUCUCUCUGAUCCUUAUUUCUUACAGAUUUGGCAUCACCAACCAGCACAAAAGAACAGGUUUAGAUCUGUGGACUUUAAUUAUGUUUUCUUAAAAGCUCAUACUAAAUUACAUUAUUAGAGGAACACAAAUUAGUACCACUUAGGUGAAAGCCAAUUAUUUAAGAGCACUCAAGCAUUUUUUUAAACACCAUUAAAUCACACUCACAAAAGCUACCAGAUUCUCAGAAGCAAAGGGAUUAUCUUUCCUAGUACACUGUGUUAAAAUAUCUAAAUUCAGUUCUAAAAAAUCUAAAUUUUAUUAAAUAGGAAAUUACAUAUUCUAAUCUUCUCCCCACUCUCAUUUUGCUUCGCAUAAUUUACGCUGUUGUCUUUGCUGUUUACCCAAGAAGGGGCCAUAGACCACCUGGAUGUGCUAUUUUAAAGCAGACCACUUCUAAGCAUCUGCCCUGCCCUAGGGCCAGUUGUCACCACUCCCAUUACCACAUCAGCAGAGGCAGAGACUCCUUCCGCCUUAGCCACUUCAGCUCAUAAAUUGGUGUUUCAGGGUGAAGUCACAUGAAACUGGAAGAACUGAUUUCUUCUAAGAUAUAUGGUCAGUAACCAGUGGCAGACGAACCAGGCAGGCAUUUUUUGCAGCAAUACUCGCCAGUUCUCAUCCAUUAAAGCCAUUUAAAGUUAUACAGGAAUGGAAUAACGUCAUCAAAAGCUCCCGCGCAGCAAGAGCGGGCUGAGCACGGUAGGGCACGUGACCGGAAGGGGCGCGCGAGGGGCGGGGCAACAACGGCCGCACCUGUCACCGCCGCCUCCUCUCCCUCACAACCACCGCAACCUCCACACUGCCACAGUCAGUACAGCUGCACCACUGCCACUCCGCCGCAACCUCCACACCGUCACAACCAGUAUAGCUACACCACUGCCACUCUGCCAGAACCGCCACACUGCCACAACCAGUACAGCUGUACCACUCCCACACCACCACAACCGCCA
rnacentral:lncRNA from 1 species